AAAUCUCUAGAUCUAAGAUCCUAUUACAUGAUAUUAAAUCAUAAAUUAAAAUAUAAAGAGCAAGAACUACAUGUUGAUCAUAUCAACAUAUUUCUGUACUACAUCUAAUGUAUGUAAAAUAUAAUAGAUCAGAUCUAUUACCUUGCAAGUUAGACAUUCUAACUUUGCUGAUCCGAAUUUAAGGAUGAUGUUGUGAGCUGCACAUGCGUCCGACCUCUAGGAGUCAUCUACAUGAGCCCACGAAUUAUGAUCAGAAGUCCUAAUCCAGAAAAUCAGCACAGUAUGCUAGUACUAUGCUGAUCCUUCUUCGAUGGUCGAUCAGAUGCUUCCUUCUUCUUGAUUUGGACUCUUCCAAAGAUAAGAAGAAGGAGAAGGAGUUUUAGAUGUGAGACACUCUCAAAAAACUCACAG
rnacentral:lncRNA from 1 species